rnacentral:rRNA from 1 species
UACGUAGGGGGCUAGCGUUGUCCGGAAUCAUUGGGCGUAAAGAGCGUGUAGGCGGUCCGGUAAGUCCGCUGUGAAAGUCGGGGGCUCAACCCUCGAAUGCCGGUGGAUACUGUCGGGCUAGAGUGCGGAAGAGGCGAGUGGAAUUCCUGGUGUAGCGGUGAAAUGCGCAGAUAUCAGGAGGAACACCAAUAGCGAAGGCAGCUCGCUGGGACGGUACUGACGCUGAGGCGCGAAAGCGUGGGGAGCGAACAGG